AUUGAACGCUGGCGGCAUGCCUUACACAUGCAAGUCGAACGGCAGCAUGGAGAGCUUGCUCUCUGAUGGCGAGUGGCGAACGGGUGAGUAAUGCAUCGGAACGUACCGUGUAAUGGGGGAUAACGUAGCGAAAGUUACGCUAAUACCGCAUAUGACCUGAGGGUGAAAGCAGGGGAUCGCAAGACCUUGCGUUAUACGAGCGGCCGAUGUCAGAUUAGCUAGUUGGUGAGGUAAAGGCUCACCAAGGCGACGAUCUGUAGCGGGUCUGAGAGGCUGAUCCGCCGCACUGGGACUGAGACACGGCCCAUACUCCUACGGGAGGCAGCAGUGGGGAAUUUUGGACAAUGGGGGCAACCCUGAUCCAGCCAUGCCGCGUGAGUGAAGAAGGCCUUCGGGUUGUAAAGCUCUUUCGGCCGGGAAGAAAUCGCACAGGCUAAUACUCUGUGUGGAUGACGGUACCGGUAUAAGAAGCACCGGCUAACUACGUGCCAGCCGCCGCGGUAA
rnacentral:rRNA from 1 species